rnacentral:rRNA from 1 species
UACAGAGGGGGCAAGCGUUAUUCGGAAUUAUUGGGCGUAAAGGGCGCGUAGGCGGCUUUGCAAGUGACGGGUGAAAUCCCUCGGCUUAACCGAGGAACUGCCUGUCAAACUGCAUGGCUUGAGACCGGGAGAGGUGAGUGGAAUUCCCAGUGUAGCGGUGAAAUGCGUAGAUAUUGGGAGGAACACCAGUGGCGAAGGCGGCUCACUGGACCGGUACUGACGCUGAGGCGCGAAAGCUAGGGGAGCAAACGGG